AACUCAGAUUAUGCGGAGGCUCUGACUGUGGCUCUCAAUCUUAGACUGUUACUAGAGAUAACAAAUCAUUCCCAGUCACAUCAUUCUAUUUAGAUUCAUGACUGAUUCCUUUCUGCCUUCUAAUUCCAUAACGCUCUGAGGAUGACUAAGGCAACGAUGAUUCCGGUGAGCCAACAUUAGGUAUCCUGUCCUCUGGCAACAGAAGCCCAAGUGUCUGAUGAAUCAGGGAAGAAGAAUUUAAAUAUAAUAAAACUACCUCAGUUUGCAUCCAGUGACCUGAAACCAGACUUUUAUAGACAGAGUCGUAGCAUGUGAGAAUCAGAAGGAAGAAAAUCCAUAGAUGCCGUAGUGCUGGCCCGGAGCUGGGUGUCUUUCGGGACAAAGAGUUCUC